GGCAGCCAAGUCGUGAGGCGGAGCUAAUCCCUUAAAGCCAUUCUCAGUUCGGAUUGUAGGCUGAAACUCGCCUACAUGAAGCUGGAGUUACUAGUAAUCGCAGAUCAGAAUGCUGCGGUGAAUGCGUUCCCGGGUCUUGUACACACCGCCCGUCACACCACGGAAGUUGGGGGCGCCCGAAGCCACUUAGCUAACCCUUUUGGGAAGCGAGUGUCGAAGGUGAAAUCAAUAACUGGGGUGAAGUCGUAACAAGGUAGC
rnacentral:rRNA from 1 species